UUACCUGAAAAUUUUCAAUGUAUCACGAAAAAUGAAUGUAAAAAAUCGGGGUUGUUACACUUCUCUUCUAAUUCUAGAUUGAAGGCACCAGGAACUGAGCUCUCUUCGUGUUGCUGGAUGGCUUCUUUCUGGCCUUCUGGCAUGCAAGUUUAGCGCGACUUCUCAACCCUUCUCCUCUUUCUUUUCUGCUUGAGUUUUCCGCUUGUUUUGUAAGAGAUUCGUUGCUGAUGUGACUGCUUUUUGCUCUGAUUCGCAGGUCAGUCAUUCCUGGAUUGGUGCACUACUGCACUAUAAUGAUUGCCCAUGAAAUGUGCUCCAAUUUGGCAAGUUGUUCGGAUUGUAAUUUGUGUUGGGGGAAGUGCUGAUUGCCCGGCCAUUCCAUCUUCUCUGUGGGUGGUAGCUAGGUUUUGUUUGCCAGGUUUGCUUUGUGGGGUCUCUUCUUCUGCAUUUCCAGCUUUGUUGGGUGAGCUUAUGUGGUUUUAUUUUGCUGGCUCUUGGUUCGAGGUGCUUAAUCAUGAUCCUUGGUAGGGAAUCAUGCGGGCAGUUAAGAAUUAGUCUUGGCUGCAAUAAAAUACCAAGCAGCUGGCGCUUUUAGUUCAUUUGCUAUGACAGCUUGUUGCUCUUUUCUCUUUUGAUCAAACCUAUUGGUUGCUUGGUGUUUUAUAGCUUUGUUUUCCCUUUCCUUUUCGGGUUUUUCUCUUUGAUGUUAACAAACUUCAUUGUGCUUCUUUCUCACUCUUAUUUGGUGCUCUCCAGGUGCUGCUGUUCUUCUGUUUUGCUGUCUAUCUCUGAUAUAUUAACAGCUUGAUUUAUCAAGAUCUGUUUUAUACUGUUGUCAUGGUGUUCAUGUCCCAUGGACAUGGUUGUCUGGUCUUUCUAGCCCUUUUGCUUUCAUUUUUUGCUUUGAUUUGGUAAAUGUGUUUUUCUUUUUUUUUUCCCUUUCGCACCGGUUUGCUAGGGUGGGGAGAUUGUUGAGUCGGGUCUAUUGUGAACUGGGUUAGAAUAUUGCAUUUUGAGCAGCUUAUGUUUUCUCAAAUGCACAUUCAUCUUCUAUAUAUCUUACUCAAAUCGGUUCUCCCUGUUUUCCAGCAAGCUUCAUUCUUCCAUAAUUCCAUUACACUUUUAAAAAAGAGAAGUGACCACAUAAUAGAUCGCUUUGCAAGGCAUAUUAUAUAGAUUUUGCCACAUUUUUUUAUUGGCACGAAUUACGAAUUUCUUAAGCAUAUUGUUCUUGAUAUAUAUAUGCUUCCUAUAUGAAAAGUGAUUACACAUGAUUGAUGUCUUAAUAAAUUUUUAUUUUCGAAAAUUUAUCACUAAUUGUUUUGUUGUCACCUCUGCUAAGAUCACGCCCAUUCUCUCCUCGGUCAGCUUCUUGGUCUUGUUUCAAGGAUCUGACAGUACAUCUCAUUUUUUUUCUUUCGCUUAUACAUUUUCUUAGCUUUUCAUAGUUGUUACUUUAAGUCCUCCCCCUUCCUUUACUCAAUCCUUAUCCAUCUCUCUUAAGUUUGCUUCUACACAGUUGUUAUGCUUCCCACCUCCAUUUUUACCACGGAAGCAGUUCCUUUUGUGUUUUUUUUUUCUGCGGCAGUUGUUUUCUUUUAUACAUUGUGCAUGCACUUUUUUACCCUUUUUGUUUUUUAUCCAACAUUUCGUUUCGUUUCGCUGGCUCAGUAUCCUAUUCAUCACUAGAUUUACGACUUUGCAAGGUGUUGUUUAUGUUGGUGCUCUGUUAGCGAUCUAGAGCCCUAUAUCAGGUUUUUUAAGAGGCCUUUAUUCUUCUCUCUCACUUUUUUUUUUUUGUUAUUUUCCAGCCUGUUAUUUUCCGAGAGAAGCUGAAAAAAUGCCCCUCGUGUAAACGCCACUGUCCCUCCUAGGUCUCUGAAACAACAAACCAGUAACCCUCCCAGUAGCAGUAGCAGAAUUGCUUCGAACACCCUCCCAGUCCCCUCCACAGAAAUCUCUCCCUAUCCAUGAUGAGAGAAUAAUCCUUCAGGAAUUUGCAGUACAACUGCAUAACCAUCUAUCCAUCAAGAACAAUGGUCAUUCUACAUUUAGAAUAUUCAGCUUUGAAAAACAUUUAUGGAUAUAUAAAAGUAGAAUUCUUAAAUGUUAAGAAACAAAAUCUGAUAUAAAAUAAGAGAAGUUACAUUGCACACAGAUAAGAAUUCACAUCCAUGCCCUCAUUAAGCUCUUCUAUUUUCGUGAUAAGCUUCCAGCUCCAUGCAUUUUCUUACUAUCUAUUAAAUAUACUUAUCUCAUAAAGACAACAGAAAACUGUGCAACUCACAUGUUUAUCCACCAUCCAGCCCGACAAACACUAUUCUGCAGAAGCUUUAAAUAACCAUUAUGUGGCUUCCUUCAGUCUUAGAGGUUCGACUGCACAUACAAUAGUUAAAUCAACCAACUUCUUGUUAGUCUUGGAAACAAAAACAACGCUAAACGCUAAACUGCAAAAUGCAGGAUGAUGUCCAUUGAGUAGAGAAAAAGUGGGAGUUCUAUAUGGUUUCUACAAUAUUCACAAUAUGAGUGCUAUUCAUAUAUUCAAGUAAUACAGGAAGGAAGGCAUGGAUAAUCUUCUCUUUUAAUUUUCAAUUGAGUUGAGGUGCGACAUACUCUUUGUUCAUGUGAAGUAUUGACUGAAACUAGUUCUUGUGGAUUUCUAUGCAUCUAUUUACAGCUGAUAGUCUACGGUGCUGGCCAAGCAAUACCAUCCUCUCUCACUGUUUUUUUAUGGACGUGUGAUACUGGUAAUGGAGAAGAACUUUUGUACUGAUGCUGCUGGAAACAGAAUUUGCCAUCCCUGCCAAUUCAAGUUUCUUUGUGCAUUUUGGUGAGUUUUGUUGUUCAUUCCUCGAGCUCUUUUUUGGAACCAUUAUUUGCAGCAUUUUUCUUCCAAACUAUUUUGUGCUUUGAGCUCAAUAAGAAGGUUUAAACCAAAUUUAUGCAUGUAACUAACAGAAGUUGAACUGUAAAAAUUUUGCAUCCCUUUUA